GAUGAACGCUAGCGGCAGGCCUAAUACAUGCAAGUCGGACGGGAUCCAUCGGUAGCUUGCUACCGAUGGUGAGAGUGGCGCACGGGUGCGUAACGCGUGAGCAACCUGCCCAUAUCAGGGGGAUAGCCCGGAGAAAUCCGGAUUAACACCGCAUGACACUGCUUUCCGGCAUCGGGAGGCGGUCAAAUAUUCAUAGGAUAUGGAUGGGCUCGCGUGACAUUAGCUAGUUGGUGGGGUAACGGCCCACCAAGGCGACGAUGUCUAGGGGCUCUGAGAGGAGAAUCCCCCACACUGGUACUGAGACACGGACCAGACUCCUACGGGAGGCAGCAGUAAGGAAUAUUGGUCAAUGGGGGCAACCCUGAACCAGCCAUGCCGCGUGCAGGACGACUGCCCUAUGGGUUGUAAACUGCUUUUGUUAGGGAAUAAACCCCGCUACGUGUAGCGGGCUGAAUGUACCUAAAGAAUAAGGAUCGGCUAACUCCGUGC
rnacentral:rRNA from 1 species